ACAGAGACAUCAUGUGUAGGUUCUGGCUACAAUACUAGCUGAGGUGCAAAUGAAUAGCCAACAUCAACAUCACACAUAUAAGCAAAUCUUCAGAUGAUUCCAGGCCCCAGCUUUUGAGUUACCCCAGCUGACAUCAAAGAGAGCAAAGACUGACAUCAAGCAGAGCAAACCCUUUCAGACUGCUGAUUAAAGUCUACAAAAUUGAAAACUGGAAAAUAUGGCUGUUGGAGAUAAGGAAGAAAAAAGAAAGAAAAAAAAAGAAAAACUUGAACCAUUUAAUUGAAACCCCAAGUGAUGGAAGAGAAUAUUGAAACACAUAGAUGUGAAACAAUCUAAAAGUUCUCUGGUCUCCCUUCAUAUUGCUGUUUGUGGCAGUUCCAUAUACGAAGCUUUGGAGACCCUUUUGGAGAAAGGCCUGACAUCUUGGAUGUUUUGAUGCUCAUUUAUUUCCUCACUUAUUAAAUGGGAGUAAAUAUGCGUACAUCACUAAUUACUAAAGGAUACAAGACAAUGAAUUUGGUCCUUGUGAUAAAUGGAAAAGGGGUCUUGCUUUUAGGAAAGAAAGUGUGUUAGUGUCGGCAAGAUCAGAAACACAGUUCUAAAAUAAACUCUCAGGGGCCCCUUGUAUAUGAGUGGACUUGGUCUCCAGUGGACUCUCAUCUUGACACCUUCAAAGUAUUGCCACGUACAGCUCUGCAGCUCCUAAGCUUUUAAUCACUGCUGAGUGACAAACCUGGAUGCCCACCAAAAGGCGGACUGCAUUUCAAUAGCUCCAAUA